rnacentral:rRNA from 1 species
AGAGUUUGAUCCUGGCUCAGGAUGAACGCUAGCUACAGGCUUAACACAUGCAAAUCGAGGGGAAACGACAUCGAAAGCUUGCUUUUGAUGGGCGUCGACCGGCGCACGGGUGAGUAACGCGUAUCCAACCUGCCCACCACUUGGGGAUAACCUUGCGAAAGUAAGACUAAUACCCAAUGACGUCUCUAGAAGACAUCUGAAAGAGAUUAAAGAUUUAUCGGUGAUGGAUGGGGAUGCGUCUGAUUAGCUUGUUGGCGGGUAACGGCCACCAAGGCGACGAUCAGUAGGGGUUCUGAGAGGAAGGUCCCCCACAUUGGAACCUGAGACACGGUCCAAACGUCCUACGGGAGGC